rnacentral:rRNA from 1 species
UACGUAUGGUGCAAGCGUUAUCCGGAUUUACUGGGCGUAAAGGGAGCGCAGGCGGCGCGCCAAGUCUGAUGUGAAACCCCGGGGCUCAACCCCGGGCAUGCAUUGGAAACUGGCGGGCUGGAGUGCCGGAGAGGUAAGCGGAAUUCCUAGUGUAGCGGUGGAAUGCGUAGAUAUUAGGAGGAACCCCAGUGGCGAAGGCGGCUUACUGGACGGCAACUGACGCUGAGGCUCGAAAGCGUGGGGAGCAAACAGG